rnacentral:rRNA from 1 species
UACAGAGGUCUCAAGCGUUGUUCGGAUUCAUUGGGCGUAAAGGGUGUGUAGGUGGCGCCGUAAGUGGGGUGUGAAAUCUCGGGGCUUAACUCCGAAACUGCAUUCCAUACUGCGGUGCUUGAGGACUGGAGAGGAGACUGGAAUUCAUGGUGUAGCAGUGAAAUGCGUAGAGAUCAUGAGGAAGACCAGUGGCGAAGGCGGGUCUCUGGACAGUUACUGACACUGAGACACGAAGGCCAGGGGAGCAAACGGG